rnacentral:lncRNA from 10 species
AAAAAACAAAAAAAAACAUAACGGAGGCAAUUCCUCAGGGCAGUUACUUCACCCACAGCCCCUGAUUACACAGAAAAAAACAGUCUCUGGGCCCCAGAAACAAGGCAGAGGCAGCAAUCCCUCAGCAAGCCUGGCCAGUGACUUCAGAGCCUCAGAGAAAACCCGUACUACCCUCUAGGAUGCUGUGGCAUUCUGGGCAAAUAACAACUUCUCUGGGCCUCACUUGUCCAUGAGGUCCGCUGUAGGAAAACCACCAUUGCCCUUUCCCUUCCUCUCUCUUCCCUCCCCCACCACACACACACACACACACACACACACACACACACACACACACACACACAUUACUCCCCAGCCACUUCCCAUUUAUAGGAAAUGGGGGAUGAUGUGAGGAGCAAGGCCAUCCUUGGGGAACUGCUAAUAGUCUAGCUGGAUAUUGGAGAAACCAAAGAUGCUGGCAAAAUGCAUUAGCAGUCUCUGCCCCACCCCCACACACAGCCCCUCCUCAUUGUCCUUGGGCUAAGAGCAAGCAUCCUUCUCAUUCCACAGAGACCAGAUACCCAGCUGCAUCUGGUUGGCCUCACGGAAGCCUGAGAAGUCAUGAAGGACCUGGAGCUCCCUUGCUGUUCCCAUCUCUUGCCAUCUCCAUCAUCCAGGGCCGGUGGUCCACUUUGAGAUGUCUGUGCUGUCUGCCUCAGGAUGAGGGGCUGACUCUCUGACUUCAAGAUAGGAAUAAAAGGAGGAGGAGUCUGCUACACCCACCAUCAAGUGCGCUCACAGUAUUUACUCAACCAGUGACAAGGAGGGCCAAACAAGAGGAAAAAUCCUAGAACUGCAGCAAGACAGAUGGGAAUCACACUAGAGGAGGGACUUCCCAGGGCAUCUGAGGUAAGGUGUAAAAUCUCUGCCUUCUCCUCCCUAAAUGUCCCCACAACUGAGUCCAGUGCAAUACAGCCUGAAGAUGAUAGAUGGGUGAGAUGGCAUAUGGAAGCCCCAUUGCAGGCCUCUGAUGAUGGGGGUCCUCCUGGCUGAGUAGCUUUUCCCAUUCUGGAAGGGAUGUCCUGAAUGUGCUAGGAGUUGUGAGAGAUGACUGGAAUUCCAGUAACUUUUGGCAGGAUUUACUACUGUAUCUGGAUCUUUGGGAUUGAGAGAGGAGCAAGAAGCUGACACUGCCUACUGCAAGUGGCUAUAAAGCCAUUCUCACGGUCCUGAUGCAAUGCUCAAGAUAAAAAGCAAGCCUGCGGGAAGGAGAGACACUGGCCUGAGUCCAGGUGUCUGAGCAGGAACACCAGCCCCAGACUCCAAAUGAAGCUCCAGAGGAACAGAAGGAGUUGGUGGGAAGGGCCCCUCUGCUGGGCUUCAGGGCCAGAAAAGGGAGAAGGAACAAACACAAGUAGUGGCAGAGCACCAUCCAGUCAUGUUGGCCAAAUGAUGCCUCCUUUGUUCAGUAAGAAGUGAAGAGAGAAUGCUAGAACCGCAGCCGGGCGUGGUGGUUCACGCCUGUAUCCCAGCACUUUGGGAAGCCAGGCGGGAGGAUCACUUGAGGUCAGGAGUUAGAGACCAGCCAGGCCAACAUGGUGAAACCCCAUCUCUACUAUUAAUAAAAAUACAAAAAUUAGCC